UCUACCCUCAAGCACGGCUUGUGUGUUGGGUCCUGUCCCUCCGAAAGCUCCCUUUCUUGGGGGGCUGGCAGUUGGGGGGACAGGCCUUAAAGGCAGCGGCGGCGUCGCGUCCGACCCUAAAGCGUCUGGGGCUCUGUCACACGCUUUGGAGGGUUGGCCGAUCGGCCUGCCACACCCUAGAUCUUUUAU
rnacentral:misc_RNA from 1 species